GUAUGUGUGUGUAUAUGAGAGUUUGUGUGUAUGUAUAUGUGUGUAAUUAUGAGUCUUGACAAACAUAUUGACUUGAGAUUAAAUUGUUUAAAAUUCAAGUUAAUUUUUUAAUUAACUCAAAUAAUAAAAUCUUAACAAUAAUCAAUUAAUAUGAAUUUACUAAAAAAUUAAGUAAUCAUGACAUUUACUUUAUAUAUGCAGUGAAUAAAUUAAUUGAGUAGUUUGUAAACAAGUUCAAGUUUGUUCGAAAAAUAAAUAAAUAAAGUUUGAACAAAUUAUCUAAUUCAAUGAUAAGGUUGAGCUCGGCUUGUGCUUGAAAAAAAUUAAAUAAAUUGAGCUGUUACAUUCAAUAUAAUACUCGACUCGGCUUGAUUAUGACCCUAGCUGUUGUUAAUAGGUAAGUUAAUGAUGAGAUUCAAGCUCAUACACUAACAUACACUAACGUACAUUAGCCACAAAGUUCAAGCACUAGUGGAGCUUUAGUCCAUUGCUUUGCUUGUAUGCGGCAUAUGUAGUAGCAUAGCAUCAAAAGAAACCAACCUGUAUAAUAAACCCGAUUCAAUAUAAUAUAAUGAAUAAUAUGAUGAGUAAAGCUUGUGUUUUGUGCGCAUAUAACGCAAGUUGAGAUAUUACAUCAAUAAUUAGAGACAACGUGAGACUUUCAGCUUUUGUCAUACACAAAGAUGUAUAGCCAAUAUAUUAAAGCAUCAAGAACAUUUAUUUGCUUCCCCUUUCCCCCCUUCCCCGUUCUUGAAUAAUUUUUUUUAAAAAAAAUAAAACCUUUUAUUUGCUGAAAAUUUGAGAGAAGGCUUAGAAGUACAAGAAACUCUGAAAAAAGGUGGGAGAAAGAACAGUAAAAUCCCUUGUUUGUUUCUUGUUUUUUAUUGGAAAUUCUCCCCAUGAAUAACUUUGGGAUUUGUACACUACUUCAUGUACCGUACUUUGUCUCUUCAGAAAGGAGCAUCAAAUAUCUCACCAUUCCAUGGUCCCACUCCAUCUUGCAGGCAUAUCAAGAGACAUUUUAGAGCGAUUCUCUUGAGGUCAUUUCUUAUUUCACUAACAAGUUGUCUCCUGUCUAGAAAGUCCAACCUUUUAUCUCAAUGGUAAUUAUAAAGCACAGUCCAAGCUAAUGCUACAGUGCAUCAGUCUAGGUCUGUGAUGUGAGGCCCAUAAAUAAAAAUAUAUAUAUAUAUAUAUUUUUUUACUUCUUAUCAUGCCCAGGCUGAUGCAAUGUAACAUCAGCCUGGACUGAUGUAUAUCAGCCCUCUUAUCUCUAAAGCACACCACCUUUUGAAUCUAAUCCCAAUGUAGUACUUUUGCAAAAUUUAUUGCAGUGUAAAUUAGCCUGCGCAUAACCUUACUCGCGAGAUAGGCCACUUCCAUUGGCAAAACUAAAAGCAUUCCCACGAUGUCCUCUUACCUCAUGUGGUCGUUCGUUUGGAUAAGUAGCCUCAAUCCUCAUGGUGCCCGCCCCCUUUUUCUUUUAUGACUUAUGAGUGUUUUGUUCCUUUCUCUUGGCCUUUUCUUUUCCUGUUUGUGUAGUUGAUAUUUUCUCUUCUUUCUACUAUUUACUCCCACCCCCCACCAACAAAAAAGAAAGAGAAAAAAAAAGGGCACAUUUCAGGCCCACUGUUCUCAUAACAAUCUCCAAAUUUUAUUUUAUUUUAUUUUUUCCUUUCCCCCUUAUAAAUAAAUAAAUAAAAAGCAUUUUUUUUUCCGCCAUGAGAGUUGAUUGUAGAGAAGUCUCAACGAGCCCGAGGUACUGCAGAGAGGCCCUUCAACUUCAUGCAGGGCAAGUGCAACAGAGGUGUUUUCCUUAGUGACAACUAUUUUGACAAUACAGUACUUAACUUUUAAAGACGUAAUAGCUAACUAACUUACUACUCGAAAAAAAAAGUCCUGUGCCCAACCUAAGUGGAAGUGAGGCCACACGCAACCACCCAAUCACCCUGACCAAAUUGGGGUGGUUGCGCAGCCACCCCACUUUUUCAUUGAGGGUGGCAGCAUAACUACUCUUUUUAUUUUUUUAUUUUUUUUAAAGUAAAGCUCUACAUCCGUUUGGAUUUUUUGAAAUAAACUAGAGUACUCUAUAAAAAACAUUUUUAAAAAUAAUUUACAUUUAUGUCACAUCAAAACACUUUUUUAAAUAAAAAACAUAACACUUCCCAAAACACGUUAACA
rnacentral:precursor_RNA from 1 species